CUUAUAUCACAUUGAAACACUGGUUCCAGUACGAUCACCGAAGUUAAGCAACGUCGAGCCUGGUCAAUACAUAGAUGGCUGAUCGCUUGGGAAUAAUAUGUGCUGUAAG